GACGAACGCUGGCGGCGUGCUUAACACAUGCAAGUCGAGCGGAAAGGCCACUUCGGUGGUACUCGAGCGGCGAACGGGUGAGUAACACGUGAGUAAUCUGCCCUUGGCUUUGGGAUAGCCACCGGAAACGGUGAUUAAUACCGGAUAUGCACUACCUCUCGCAUGGGUUGUGGUGGAAAGUUUUUCGGCCAGGGAUGUGCUCGCGGCCUAUCAGCUUGAUGGUGAGGUAAUGGCUCACCAUGGCUUCGACGGGUAGCCGGCCUGAGAGGGCGACCGGUCACACUGGGACUGAGACACGGCCCAGACUCCUACGGGAGGCAGCAGUGGGGAAUAUUGGACAAUGGGCGGAAGCCUGAUCCAGCAGCGCCGCGUGAGGGAUGACGGCCUUCGGGUUGUAAACCUCUUUCAGCAGGGACGAAGCGCAAGUGACGGUACCUGCAAAAGAAGCACCGGCCAACUACGUGCCAGCAGCCGCAGUAACAC
rnacentral:rRNA from 1 species